CCUACGGGAGGCAGCAGUGAGGAAUAUUGGUCAAUGGGCGCGAGCCUGAACCAGCCAAGUAGCGUGAGGGAUGACUGCCCUACGGAUUGUAAACUUCUUUUAUCAGGGAAUAAAGUGAGGCACGUGUGCCUGUUUGUAUGUACUUUAUGAAUAAGGAUCGGCUAACUCCGUGCCAGCAGCCGCGGUAAUACGGAGGAUCCGAGCGUUAUCCGGAUUUAUUGGGUUUAAAGGGAGCGUAGAUGGGUUGUUAAGUCAGUUGUGAAAGUUGGGGGCUCAACCGUAAAAUUGCAAUUGAUACUGGCAGCCUCGAGUACAGUUGAGGUAGGCGGAAUUCGCGGUGUAGCGGUGAAAUGCUUAGAUAUCACGCAGAACUUCGAUUGCGAAGGCAGCCUACCAA
rnacentral:rRNA from 1 species